CUCUACAAAUCACAUUAACAAGUACCAAGUUCUUACGCAAACACAAGAGAAACUCGCUUCACUCAAGCACUCACGUUUCUAGCCGUUUCACAACAUAAGUGGAACCUUUCACUUGUGAUGUUCAAAGUUGGUGGUCUACUCUCUUCUUGAGAGGAAAAUGGUGUUUCAAUGUUACAAUCUUCAUUCCAAAAAUAAUCUAACUAAGCAAAUAAGACUAAGGGGUUCUACUUAUAGUCUAUUACAAAAGAGAUGGGAAAUGACACCUUUACCCUUAAUGAACGGGGUGGGUUUGGAGUGUAUAAAUGGGGAUGCCUUCUAGUGUUUUUAUGACACUCAAGGCAUGUCUUCACACUUUAAUACAAACACUCCGUUGGACAAAAUUAAUACAUGCUCAAACACAUCCAUCUUCAUGAGUGUGCCUUGAAGACGUUGUAGUUCCCGAGCUUGGCUCCUAGGGAAUGGUCUUGAGCUUUCGAUACCUAUUUGCCACUUUUUUUCAAAGGUCUUCACACUCUUCCCUAUUCUUGGAUAUGGUUUGCGUAUGGAUUCUUGUUCUUAUACCCUCUUUGCACUCAUAUCACUUGUAAUCCUUGUUCUCUUUACGCUUGUAUCAUCCUCUCCAUCUUGAAAGGAAUUUGUCCUCAAAUUUACACCUUGCAAAACAAAAGAGAGAGACCCAAGCACACAAUCCUCAUGGUAUGAGGGUUAGCAUUAGUGUCACAAAUUAUUUAAUCAUGUCAAAGGGGUAUACUUUUGGAAUAUAUCCAACAAUCCUUUGUUAUGAUCAUGGAACACUUACUACAAGCAUCACAAAGGACUUGGCUAAGAUAGACAUCAAGGGAAGAGGAGUGAAACCCGAGACCAUCACAUAUAUCAAUAAGCCAAGGUUUUUCACAUUUGAAAUACAUCCAAAGGUCCUUUGUGUGUGACAUGAAUGGCACAAAGGAUGUGGUUUUGGUAGACACCAAGAGAUAAGGAAACCACAAUGGUCUUGAUGGCCUUACUAUACCCAAAAGGUAAGACUAACUUUGGCUUAGGAACCAUAAGAUACAUUUUUUUCAUUACCUCCACAAAGAACCUCAUCAAAUAUGGUUCCACUAUUGAUCCUAAGGUCCACCUUACCCACAUAUCAUUAUCAUUCAAACAAGGAAACCAGCAACCAAACUUACUACCUCUACACAAUACACAUUCAAAAUUAACAUGGUUAUCAUCAUAGGUAAAGACGUAGUAUAGGAAGGAAUCAAGUGUAAAGACUUCAUGUCGAGGGGGUACACAUUUAAAAUACAACCUGAAAUCCUUUGUUUUGACAAUGAAACAUUUAGUAUGAGCAUUACAAAGGAUAGGGAUAAGGCAAACAUGAAGGUGGAAUGAGCACAAACUGAGACAAUUCCUUUCCCACCCCACUAAUGCACCGGGAUCAAUUGGAUGAAGUAGCCAAGGUCAUAAGCCAAGGAUACUCAUUCCUUUUACUAGAGAAUCAAGCCCACAAUCACCCAAGGCAUUACUCAUAACUUUGACAUACACAUGGUCAUUAUGAACAAGAAUAAUAUCAUGGCUUUCAGCACACAAGUUCAAAGGACCAUAUUCAUUAUCUAGAUCAACAUUACAAGCAUCAACACUAACUUGAAAUUUUUUAAUCAUACCAUUUACAUGUUCAAGUAGUGAGCUAUUCUUAGGAUCACAUUGAUCAUUAUACACACCUGAAAUACUACCAAGGAAGGAUGCUUGUACUUCUACACUAUCUAUACCCAAAACCACAUCAACUUGGCUACUAAUAUCCAUAUCACAACUCUUUAAACUUAAGGGAGUGUAAAGUAUACCAAUUUUACCUUGGUUUGUACUAGGGCAGCCUACUUGCAUUGAAUUCUCAGCAAAGAAUGCAAUUGGAACACCAACAUGUUUGGGAUGGAUUUCUUUUGGAUUCUCCUUUGGGAAUACAUCAUCUUGUACCUGCACAUAAGAAGAACUAAUGCUAGGCAAAAUGCUAGCACUUGGGUUAGUGAGUAACAAGGGUUCUUUGUGGAUAAAAUCCACAAUCAAGCAUUUUUUUCCCCUUCCAACUUCACUACCCAUGGAAUCCCUUUUGAUUUCCCUCUUUUCUUUACAUUCUUCUUGUACCUCACCAUCAAAUUUCUCUCUAUCUUGAGGCUUGGCCUCAUUCUCCUCGGAGUCCAACUCUCCCUCUUUUUCUACUUGGACGGGGUAUUUCCGGGUUAGUGUAGCUUUGGAAGGAGACAUUGAAUUUAGUGGAGUGUAGGGUCUUUGAAUUAGAGGAUUUUAGAGUAGAGAAAUCAGGUUUAGGGAUGGAAUUUUGGUUCCAAAUUCUCCUUGUGGAACUUGGUAGAGUGAGGAAUGACUAGGUCCAUCUUAUUCUCGUCUUUGGGAGUAAAGAUUGACUUGGUUUGUAGCACUAGGUGGAUACAAUCUUUGGUGCAAAGUCUUGGGAGUAAUAGUAGGUGAGAUGUUUUGAGGGGUAUGAGGUUGAGAACUCCUUUGGCUUUCCACCCUCUUCAACCUUUCACUCGUUGAGGCCACAUCCAACCUAACUUCUCAACAUUUUCCUUCAUCCUAGCCACACCUUGAGACAAGGUUUCAAGACUACCUAAGAGGACAUUAAUAACUUUAUUUUCCACGGUUGGAGCAUUGGAAUUUUUGGGUUCCAUCUGCAAUUGUAUCUACAAAACAAGCAAACGUUAGUUCAAAAUAAUCUCACAUAUUCUUCACACUCGACUUGCUCACUUGUUUUUUCAAGUGUUGUAAGCCGGCUAUCAAAUUGUGAGAACUUGGGAAUGAGUCUAAUCUUGAGUUAGAAUGGAUUUUGGUUUUGAAGACUCAAGGAAGUUUCAUACGCACUUGAACCAAGAACAACUAUGAAUUGUAAAUGAUCAAAGCACCACAAAGAAUGUUGACACGAAGACGUACUCCAAAACUAGUUCACAACUUAGUAGGUUGUUACUUAGUUGCCAACUAGUGUAGGAGUCAAUAGAAAGAAAACUAGUAGAGACAAGGAAAGAAACUUGGAAAACAACAAGCUAACACAUGAAACUACUUAAUACAAGCAAAAUAACACCUAAAUCUAUGCUUUAAAUUUCGGCCAAGACACACAAACAAGACACAAUUUUUCUGCCAAGGUACAAAAAUGGCAACAACUCUUUUUUUGAGAGAUUUUUUAUUUUGGACACCUCUUCUAGUGUUAGUAAAUAAAUAUAUAACACUAUAACAUACAAAACACACAAAAUUAAACACCAAAAUUUCGGCCAAGAACCAAAAAAAUGGGAUAGCUUCACUAUUUUUGAGUUUUCCAGCUUUUCAACACCUUUUUAAAAAUUUUUUCAAGUGAACCAGCCCAAGAUUGAUCUCAUGGGAACGAAAUCAAUGAUGGAUCUGAUACCAAAUGAUACCAAACGCUAUCUACAAGAGCACAAAAUAGUUCACAAACUCACAAAAACAGUCUACACAUAUAAGACACCAAGCGGAAACAACAAACACAAACUUGAAAGAUAAAGAAAAUAGAUAACUUGACACAAAGAGAAUAUGAAAGUAGAAACUAAAGAGUGUAUCAAACUCUAAACCCUCUACAAAUCACAUUAACAAGUACCAAGUUCUUAUGUAAACACAAGAGGAACUUGCUUCACUCAAGAACUCACGUUUCUAGCCGUUUCACAACAUAAGUGGAACCUUUCACUUGUUAUGUUCAAAGUUGGUGGUCUACUCUUUUAUUUAGAGGAAAAUGGUGUUUCAAUGUUACAAUCUUCAUUCCAAAAAUAAGCUAACUAAGCAAAUAAGACUAAGGGGUUCUACUUAUAGUCUAUUACAAAAGAGAUGGGAAAUGACACCUUUACCCUUAAUGAACGGGGUGGGUUUGGAGUGUAUAAAUUGGGCUGCCUUCUAGUGUUUUUAUGACACUCAA
rnacentral:lncRNA from 1 species